GAUGAACGCUGGCGGCGUGCCUAAUACAUGCAAGUCGAGCGAACAGACGAGGAGCUUGCUCCUCUGACGUUAGCGGCGGACGGGUGAGUAACACGUGGAUAACCUACCUAUAAGACUGGGAUAACUUCGGGAAACCGGAGCUAAUACCGGAUAAUAUAUUGAACCGCAUGGUUCAAUAGUGAAAGACGGUUUUGCUGUCACUUAUAGAUGGAUCCGCGCCGCAUUAGCUAGUUGGUAAGGUAACGGCUUACCAAGGCAACGAUGCGUAGCCGACCUGAGAGGGGGAUCGGCAACACUGGAACUGAGACACGGUCCAGACUCUUACGGGAGGCAGAAGAGGGAAUCUUCCGCAAUGGGCGAAAGCCUGACGGAGCAACGCCGCGUGAGUGAUGAAGGUCUUCGGAUCGUAAAACUCUGUUAUUAGGGGAGAACAAAUGUGUAAGUAACUAUGCACGUCUUGACGGUACCUAAUCAGAAAGCCACGGCUAACUACGUG
rnacentral:rRNA from 1 species